GAAAAGAAAUAGAGCAAAUAAAGAAGAACAAGAAGACGAACAACAACAACCCACACAAUUGAUGUUUCUGUUCAAUCCAUAUCGGAUUGAUUCUUUCCAUUUAUUCAUCAUUCAUUUUGGGUGAAUGAUAACAACUAACUAUCAAGAAACGACAAGCAACGACUAUUGUUAGUUACCGAUAUAUGCAUACGAAUCAACUGUCAC
rnacentral:ribozyme from 1 species